ensembl:lncRNA
UAUACAUCUCCCACCUUACAUUGCUUCAAGUACAGGAAGGGAAAGGCUCCAAAACUGUAAAGAUCUUCUUCAGCAGAAGAGUGACAGAGGAGCAGCUUAGGUACCCCCCUCCCAUGACAGCUAUGGAAAGUUUUUUGGGACUGUUUCCCAGCUGUUCUGGUUAUCCAGACAUCCCUUCCUUCCUUUAAACUCUCUUUGUAAGCCCACAGCACAAUGCUUACAACCAGGAAGGAAGACAGACUGUUUCUCCAUCCAGAAUACUCAUAUAUUAC